rnacentral:rRNA from 1 species
CCCUUAGAUGUUCUGGGCCGCACGCGCGCUACACUGACGGAUUCAACGAGCUUACAACCUUGGCCGAAAGGUCUGGGUAAUCUCCAAAAUCCGUCGUGAUGGGGAUAGAUUAUUGCAAUUAUUAAUCUUCAACGAGGAAUGCCUAGUAAGCGCAAGUCAUCAGCUUGCGUUGAUUACGUCCCUGCCCUUUGUACACACCGCCCGUCGCUCCUACCGAUUGAAUGGUCCGGUGAGGCGUUUGGACUAUGGUUUUCUGAUGGUCCGCCGUUGGAUUACCGUGGGAAGUUCGUUAAACCUUAUCAUUUAGAGGAAGGAGAAGUCGUAACA